GACCGUUUGGCGCAAUGGUAGCGCAUCCGCCUCCUACUCUCUCUAGUGUAAAAAGCGGAAGGCUGCGGGUUCGAGCCCCGUGAUGGUCG
rnacentral:tRNA from 1 species